rnacentral:rRNA from 1 species
UACAGAGGGUGCAAGCGUUAAUCGGAAUUACUGGGCGUAAAGCGUGCGUAGACGGUUGCGUAAGUCAGAUGUGAAAGCCCCGGGCUCAACCUGGGAAUUGCAUUUGAGACUGCGUAGCUAGGGUGCGGAAGAGGGAAGCGGAAUUUCCGGUGUAGCGGUGAAAUGCGUAGAUAUCGGAAGGAACACCGGUGGCGAAGGCGGUUCUCUGGGCCUUACCUGACGCUGAGGAGCGAAAGCGUGGGGAGCGAACAGG